UGAGAUGAAUAAAACAAAGGCAUGACUGC
rnacentral:piRNA from 1 species